GAAGGUAUAGCUCAAAUGGUAGAGCACAUGCUUCAUAUGCAUGAGGUCCUGGGUUCAAUCUCCAGUACCUCUU
rnacentral:tRNA from 1 species